rnacentral:rRNA from 1 species
GGAAGCUUAUAAGGCGCGCGGCGGAUGCCUUGGAGCCGGAUGGCGAUGAAGGACGCGACAACCUGCGAUAAGCCCGGGGGAGCUGGACGUAAGCCUAGAUCCCGGGAUUUCCGAAUGGGGAAACCCAGCCAGCUACAAGCUGGCUACCCAUGGCCCAACACAUAAGCCAUGGGAGGCAACCCAGGGAACCGAAACAUCGAAGUACCUGGAGGAAAAGAAAGAGAGAUCGAUUCCGUUAGUAGUGGCGAGCGAAAGCGGAGGAGCCCAAGUCUGCAACAUGUAAGGAGCGCCUAGGGGAAUCCACUGGAAUGUGGAGCCAUAGGGGGUGAAAGCCCCGUACCCGAAGGGCAAACCAAACUAGCAGGAAAGAGUAAGUCGGGACACGUGAAAUCCUGACCGAAGAUGCGGGGACCGCCCCGUAAGGCUAAAUACGGUCCGGCUACCGAUAGCGAACAAGUACCGUGAGGGAAAGGUGAAAAGCACCCCGGGAGGGGAGUGAAAGAGAUCCUGAAACCGCGCGCUGACGAGAUGGCGGAGGGCGUUAAAGCCUGACGCCGUGCCUAUUGAAGAAUGAGCCUGCGAGUCAGUGCACACGCGCGAGGAUAAGGGGAAGACCCGGAUCCGCAGCGAAAGCGAGCCCGAAUAGGGCGCACAGUGCGUGUGUCUGCACCCGAAACCCGGCGAUCUAGCCAUGUCCAGGAUGAAGCAGGGGUGAAACCCUGUGGAGGUCCGCACCGACGUUCGUUGAAACGCCCGCGGAUGAGAUGUGGCUCGUGGUGAAAUUCCAAUCGAGCCGGGUAAUAGCUGGUUCUCCCCGAAACAUCUUUAGGGAUGGCCUCAUGUGUUUGGCCCCGGAGGUAGAGCGACUGGAUGGGAAGGGCCCGAGCGAUCGGGUUCCGGCCCGACCAAACUCCGAAUGCCGGGAGCCCUAAGCAUGGGAGCCAGACGGUGGGAGACAAGUUCCAUCGUCAAGAGGGCAACAGCCCAGACCGCCGGAUAAGGCCCCUAAAUCCACGCUAAGUGUGUAAGGAUGUGGAAACGCUAAGACAGCCAGGAUGUUGGCUCAGAGGCAGCCAUCAUUCAAAGAAUGCGUAACAGCUCACUGGUCAAGCGUUUCUGCGCCGAAAAUUUACCGGGGCUAAGCGUGGUGCCGAAUCCGCGGAUUCGACCAUCAGGUCGAGUGGUAGGGGAGCGUCGUCGCUGGGGCGAAGGAUGACCGUGAGGACAUCUGGACCGUCGACGAGUGAGAAUGCAGGCGUAAGUAGCGAUGAGGGGUGAGAAUCCCCUCCGCCGAAUGACUAAGGUCUCCCGGGCAAGGUUCGUCCACCCGGGGUCAGCCGGGGGCUAAGGUGAGGCCGAAAGGCGUAGCCGAUGCACAAUGGGUUAAGACUCCCAUGCCCCGACGUGAAUUGGCUGAGCAGUGACGGAUCCGGAAGGUCGUACCAGCUGUCGGAAUAGCUGGGCUGCCUUGGAGAUUGGGGCGGGUAAUUCCCGCUUGUAAUGUCUCCAAGGUGGGUAGGAAACCAGGGAUGGGAGUACGAAAUCGGCCGGAAGGGUCCCGGGAAAAGCUGCCCAGUGCCGCACGUCGGGCCCGUACCGAGAACGAACACACGUGGUCAGGUCGAGUAGACCGAGGCGAGCGAGAUAACUGUUGUUAAGGAACUCUGCAAAAUUGCUCCGCAAGUUAGCGAGAAGGAGCGCUCUCCUCCGGGAGAGCCGCAGUGAAGAGGCCCAGGUAACUGUUUACCAAAAACACAGCUCUAUGCGAAGGCGCAAGCCGAUGUAUAUGGGGUGAAGCCUGCCCGGUGCCGGAAGAUUAAGGGGAGGGGUUAGGAGCAAUCCGAAGCCCUGAGCCGAAGUCCCGGUGAACGGCGGCCGUAACUAUAACGGUCCUAAGGUAGCGAAAUUCCUUGUC